rnacentral:lncRNA from 1 species
UGAGUUUAGUGACGGUGACAUGCUUCGAUUUUUAAUAUACUGUUGCCAUGUAUUUGAAGUUUGAAGUCAUUUGCUAGUGCUUUUCUGUAAAAAUUGUCUAGAUGGGCUUGAUCAUUUUCCAGACUUUGGCAUGUCAUUUUCCAAAUUUUAUUUUAUUUCCAGAAAAACUGUUUAAAGUUUAAAUAAAAAUUAUUAAGUAUAUAUUUUUAAAAUGAUUGUACUGUGGCGGAAUUUGAAUUUGAAUUUGAAUUUAUUGAUGUAAAAUUAAAAUAUGAAUUACGAUGUUAGGUUUACAUGUAUGAGUAGUAAAUACUUCUUGUCAUCCGUUUUCUUGGUCAACAAACGGGAAUUUGAUCUUAAAGAUCCUUAAGAUUAAAAUACGAAUGAAGUUAGGUUUACAUGGUCAUGUUUUUGCAAAGUCAAAAUUUCAUCUGCUUUUCUUUUUGGUUUGAUCUGUUUUUUGGUUGGUGAGAAAGUGAAUGAAAAGUUGCUGAAAAUGAAUUGAAUUGAAUUUGUUGGUUGAUGUAAAAUGAAUUGAAAAUGAACUGUGGCGGGGUUUUGUUUUUCGUAGAGUUUCGGUUAGUAAAAAUACAUUUUGUAAGCUCAUGGGAUCAAUAUCUAUAAUUAAUAUUAUGUAUAAUAUUGAUAUUUCUUGUGAAUUUACAGAUCAUAUCUCUAUUGGUCGAGGUAUUCCUUAAAUUCAGUGAACCUAAUGAGCUCUCGAACACUGUUUUAAAUUCUCUUAGUAAAACACUGUUUUAAAUUCUCUAAUAAGGAGCCUAUCUACAUUUAUAUCCAUAUGUUAUUUCUUCUUGUAUGAAAACAGACCAAGCAAGUUUUAAUGAACAUAAGAGAAAUAGGACUUUGAUAAUGAAAUGAUUUUGAUACGUCUAAGAACAUGUUCACUACUGGUCCAAAAAAACAAACAACCAACCCUCUGUAGCAGUCAUGACAAUCCCAGUACCAGCUCUUUGAAAAAUCGAGUCUUUUAUUGUAGCAAAGGUCGUUUAACUGGCAUUCAC